CUGGAGACAAAAGUUCUGUGACUGGGCUGGAAUCCAGACCCCUCAGUGCCGCCAGCGGCUACAGAUCUGGGGAGGAGGCACAUUUAAGAGCUGUGAGGUCCCAGGCGGCAACACUUGCCUGGAGGUGAAGCUGGGGUGCCACAAUUCUUUCAAAUCCCUCUGUGCUGCCCACUAGCCACUUCCCUGGCCUCAUGGGGCCCAGCUCUAGACCCGUGUGCAAACCACCUAUUUCCACAGCCUUUUUGUUUCCUCCUUUGUGAAAUGGGACAAGGAGUGCCAGCCCUGCACAGGUCACGGUGGGGUCAGGAAUGCACAACUCCUCUUCCUUCCCAGGGCCUCCAUCCGCCCCUCAACCUUCUGUCCCCUGCCUUGCUCCCAACAGCAGGAGGGCCCCUGCAAAGCAGGGACGGUUCAGAGUCCAGACUCAGCGUGUGCUGAAUGGAUGAAGAGGGAUCAAUGAUGGUCUCUUCCAUCUAGGAGCAUGCAGGAGGCGGAGCGACCAGGGUGGGGCUCACAGCCUCUCCCAGUGUCCCUCAGAAGGGAGGGCUGCUUCCCCAACCUGCAUUCAUGCACAUACGUGUGCAUGCGGCACUCUGGUUUCCAUGGUGACACGUGCAUGAGAGUGUCACAGAAGCAGCAGCCACCUCCCCAAGAUCGGAGGAAAGUCACCUCUUCCCCAGUGGGCUCCAGGGGCCUGGUCACAGGGACAGGCACAGGUGCCGCAAGAAGGACACGCAGAUGGGCUGGUCACAAAGGACGAAGCAGGCAGGGUGGGGACGGCGCCACCUCACCAGCACAGAGGGCAGGCACACCACCGGGGUGCGUGGCUGGGUCACGUUGCCCCCCACCAGCUGCCAGAGACAGUGUAUUAUCUGGCAGCUGUGCUCAGGUCCUUCUAUCUGCAUCUGGCUUUUCAGAUGGGCAACAUGAGACUCAGACCAGCUGAAGGUUGUGUGACCCACUAAGAGUGCAGGGACCUUGGCCAAAGAGCUGGGGCCAGAUGCCAGGCAGGCAACCUGGGCUUUCCUGGCUCAGUCUCUGGUCUUGCCUAUCUAUGUCAACCCUUGGUUUCACAAACCCUCCAGUUUUAUCCCACCACAGGGCCUUUGCAUUUGCUCUUUCCUCUGCCUGCAACUCAUUGCCCCUGGCUCUCCCCAUGGCUGCCUCUCCGUAGUCCCUCCGUCUUCACUCCAAUGCCAGGUCCUUUGAGAGGACUCUCUUCUGAGGGUGCCCCAAAGGCCCUGUCUGAAGUAACCCCGCUAGCCUCCAUCCCUUUCCCAUCCUAUUUUCCCUUUGUUUGCUUUUUGUUCUCCUUUUCCCCUAAAAUGUAUCACAACAGUGGGGACCAUGUUUUUCUGUUCACUGCUGUAGUCCCAGCACCCACACAGGGCCUGGCCCAUACACAUGCUCUAAAAGCACCAACGCACAAACUCCAACUUCCCAGUCCAUGGUGGGCUCCCGUUCACGACUGACACCUCUGCCAUCACUGAGUCUCCAAGCCCACCAGCAACUCGGAAACUCCCUGGGAAGGGAAGGUUAUGAUGGGGGGACAGGCUCCUGGGACCCUACCCAGGGCCCCCUUCCUACAAAGGGACUUGCCUCAGCCCAGAGAAAUAGUUAAUAAAACUGAGGUCUAAAUAAGCAUUUGAUUAACAAACGAUAAAAUAGCUAUUGUGUCCCCGAAUUAAGCUGUAAUUGUGGCUGAUAAUUGGCUGGUUAGAAUUUAAUAAGCUGCAAUUAAAUAGAAUGGAAUCCAGGGUAAUUAUGUGGUCACAGAGCCCAGGGAGAAUGGGAAGGAAGGAAGGCAGGCUUUUUCCUGCUUUGAAUCUCUUGCUGCACGGAGAGGGGAAGCAUCUGCUCAGGGUCACACAGCAAGCAGUGGCAGAGCUGGACUAGAUUCUCAGAUGGACCGUAGCUCAUGGGGAUCUGCAUGGCCCUGUCGGCUGGAGGAUGACUCUCACUUUGCUGUACCAGCUUCCGAAGUCCUUUACCAGCACCUUGAAGGAGGUUCCCAGGCCCAGGGCAGAGGCUGGAUGGGUCAUCUGCCCAUCUCCUGUGGCAAGGGGCUAACUGCCAGUGCGACAUGUCCACUAUCAGCUGAGACCUGCGAGUACUGCUCCUUUUUAGGAGCAUCUACCUCCCAGGAGCCCAGCCCCUCCUUGGCCUGACCUCCACCCUUGGCCUCUGCUUCACCUGCCUUCUGUCACCAUGGAAACGCAGGCAAUGCCGCGGUGUCCUCUGGGAUUUGGAAGAGCAGCCCAUUUCCCUGGUUUUGGUGGGGGAGGGACAGGGGAUGGGAAGAGGGGAAGGGAAGUCCAGGGCUCCUUUGGGUGAAGAUUUAGAGUCUCUUGAAGAGGUCAUUAGCUCUUUAAUAAAUCACUAAUAAUUGCAUGAAUAUUUAAAUCUUAAUAAAAAAAUACAGUG